ACCCCCCUCCUCAUAUAGACCUCAUCGCAUCCGUGUGUUACGCAUGUAAGUCCCCACCAACCCAUCAAGGCAGGCAUGGCGACGCCACCCCGUUUCCCCCUUGCCAAGCGCUCCCUCGACAGCCUUGGGCUGCGAAGACGCCAUGAUCCUCCUCCGCCGCAGUUCUUCCGCCCUGAACUUCGAGCUAGAGCGUCAAGCAGCUCAGCACUGGCUCAGCGAGCUGGGUCUAUGAGGUUUGCAACGGCAAUACCGGAAUCUUACAUCAAGAUGACCAGAACACCACCGAAGAAACGCAACAAUAAGAAGAAGAAUAAGAAGAAGGGCGGGCGUUCGAAGAAAGCAGUCAUCGAGGAUCUGCCAUUGUCUAAACGUUGGGUUUUGGCUGCGACAAAUGCGUUUCGUCCGUCUCGCGAGAAUGAUGCAAACCAACUUCAGGUUAAAAAGCUUCGUCGUGUCGCCAAAAAUGCCAAUUUGUCACCCAUUUUUAUCCGCCCAGUUCAAACACGGCCGUUUCCUACGCCUCCAGAGAGGAAAUCGAGUCUUCACUCUGGGGCGAAGACACGUUCUGCCCAGACUGGUAACAGGAGGCCUAUUGAAAAACCUCUUCCAAGCACACCUGAACCAGAAGAGUCUGAUAUUCCAGAUAACGAAGAGGAGCUUCCGAGUAGUUCUAAGAGUUCCAAUGAGGC
rnacentral:sRNA from 2 species